AAACUCUUUUAGCCUCAGAUGAAGAAGAAAGGAAGAAGUCAGAAUGUUUGUGAUGUUUCUUUGCCAGAUCGGGAAUCGAGAUCUCCGCGAACUUUUUUCAACUAAAAUUGUACUCUGAAGUCCUUCUGGAUGAGAACUGGAGGGAUGAGGAGACUUAAUCAACUAAACUCAGGUAAAUCUGAACUAGAAGUUAACGUUUUUUCCCAGAAUGUCUCUCUCCUGACGCCCUCCUUUCCUCACAUAACGUUAGUUACUGCCUGCGGUAAGUAUGGUCAGGCCUCAUUUCCAGAAAAACAGCACUGAAGUGGUUAAACAGUUUGCUUUUCACAUGGCACAUUGCUGAUUACGCUGCUGAGAUCGAAGUUCGGAUUUCCAGAAAUCAAGUUUCUCCAUACUGGAAGACCUCCGGCCUCUCAGUAGGCAUGGGGCGGCUGUUUUCUUUGUUUUUGUGCUGCACAAUUCCGACCCAGGCAUCCAAUAUCGUCAAAGUAGGCUUGGAGCUCAGAUCUGUUCUGCUGGGAGCACAGAGUGACAAACACCGCAAAUCAAAUUAUCCUGCUUAGAUAUAUCAGUGAAUUGGAAGUCAGGCCUCAGGAGGGCUGGCACAGUCAGUGCUAGCUUGGUUGAGCCUUUUCUUAGAAGCUUGCAGUAACUGUUUUGGGCUGGUAGACCCAAGGCUCUCUGUAAACAGGUCAGGGUCUAUUCUCCUUGGGAUUGGAUGAUGUCUACAGGGCAGGCUGAGCAGGUCCUGUGAAAUUAGGCCCCUUGCUCUUGCUUUAGUGUUCUCUAUUUGAAGACAAUCUCACCUUACCUCAGAAGCUUCAGGAAAUUUCCAUAUGGAAGAAGGACCCCCCCCACCUCCCCAACACCCUCCUUGCUUUCUGGAGUCUUCCUAAAAGCCAUGUUUACUUCUUUGUUUAUUAAUUCACUCAAAAUCAAUUAAUUGUCUAUAGUAUAAGGCGUUGGCAUUAUAAGGGAAAAUAAAACAUGUAGAGUAUAUAAAUUGUGCUCGGCCAAGUUUAAAUCCUGUUUCAGUCAAGUAGUACAAGGGGUAUUAAGUAUGCAAACACUUACUUGUAGGAUCAUUUAUUCAUAAUGUUCUUACCCAUGUGUGCACAGACGCAUAGACCCACACAAAUCCCACGGUAAUAUGAGGAUUUGGAAAAUUACGACAAUGGGAAUUCAGGAAGCAAGUUCAGGGGCAUUUGACUACCACAAUCUGGUGAGUGAUGUGUAGAAAAGUGGAUAGACUUCGAAACCAGCCCGACCUGGGAUCAGAUUCUUUGUUACUUGCUAGAUGUGUGUUACAUUGGUAAGUGAUAAUCUAUUUUCUCAUUUAUAAAAUGAAGAUAAAGAUAAACUCUGCCA